GCAUCUUUAGAGACCUCCGAUAAAAUUGGAACAAUGCAGAGAAGAUUAGUAUGGACCCUACUCAAGGAUGACACGCACAAAUUGAUAAAUGGUCAAGUACUUA